rnacentral:rRNA from 1 species
UACAGAGGUCUCAACCGUUGUUCGGAUUCAUUGGGCGUAAAGGGUGCGUAGGCGGUCGGGUAAGUCGGAUGUGAAAUCUCAGGGCUCAACCCUGAAACUGCAUUCGAUACUGCCUGGCUAGGGUACUGGAGAGGAGACUGGAAUUUACGGUGUAGCAGUGAAAUGCGUAGAUAUCGUAAGGAAGACCAGUGACGAAGGCGAGUCUCUGGACAGUUACCGACGCUGAGGCACGAAGGCCAGGGGAGCAAACGGG